rnacentral:rRNA from 1 species
UACGGAGGAUGCAAGCGUUAUCCGGAAUGAUUGGGCGUAAAGCGUCCGCAGGUGGCUAUGUAAGUCUGCUGUUAAAGAGUGAGGCUCAAUCUCAUAAAAGCAGUGGAAACUACAUGGCUAGAGUGCGUUCGGGGCAGAGGGAAUUCCUGGUGUAGCGGUGAAAUGCGUAGAGAUCAGGAAGAACACCGGUGGCGAAAGCGCUCUGCUAGGCCGCAACUGACACUGAGGGACGAAAGCUAGGGGAGCGAAUGGG